rnacentral:rRNA from 1 species
GACGAACGCUGGCGGCGUGCCUAAUACAUGCAAGUAGAACGCUGAAGAAAGGAGCUUGCUUCUUUUGGAUGAGUUGCGAACGGGUGAGUAACGCGUAGGUAACCUGCCUUGUAGCGGGGGAUAACUAUUGGAAACGAUAGCUAAUACCGCAUAACAGCUUUUGACACAUGUUAGAAGCUUGAAAGAUGCAAUUGCAUCACUACGAGAUGGACCUGCGUUGUAUUAGCUAGUAGGUAGGGUAACGGCCUACCUAGGCGACGAUACAUAGCCGACCUGAGAGGGUGAUAGGCCACACUGGGACUGGGACACGGCCCAGACUCCGACGGGAGGCAGCAGUAGGGAAUCUUCGGCAAUGGGGGCAACCCUGACCGAGCAACGCCGCGUGAGUGAAGAAGGUUUUCGGAUCGUAAAGCUCUGUUGUAAGAGAAGAACGUGUGUGAGAGUGGAAAGUUCACACAGUGACGGUAACUUACCAGAAAGGGACGGCUAACUACGUGCCAGCAGCCGCCGUAACAC